UACGAAGGGGGCUAGCGUUGCUCGGAAUCACUGGGCGUAAAGCGCACGUAGGUGGGUCGUUAAGUCGGGGGUGAAAUCCCAGAGCUCAACUCUGGAACUGCCUUCGAUACUGGCGACCUUCGAGUUCGGGAGAGGUGAGUGGAACUGCGAGUGUAGAGGUGAAAUUCGUAGAUAUUCGCAAGAACACCAGUGGCGAAGGCGGCUCACUGGCCCGAUACUGACACUGAGGUGCGAAAGCGUGGGGAGCAAA
rnacentral:rRNA from 1 species